UACGUAGGGCGCAAGCGUUAUCCGGAAUUAUUGGGCGUAAAGAGCUCGUAGGCGGUUUGUCGCGUCUGCCGUGAAAGUCCGGGGGCUCAACUCCGGAUCUGCGGUGGGUACGGGCAGACUAGAGUGAUGUAGGGGGAGACUGGAAUUCCUGGUGUAGCGGUGAAAUGCGCAGAUAUCGGGAGGAACACCAGUGGCGAAGGCGGACACUCGUGGC
rnacentral:rRNA from 1 species